AUAAAGCGAUACUACAAAAUUCCGAAACCAGCAAAGACAAUUGCUUUAAAUUCCUCUUCGUCGCACAAACAUAAUCUCAAAGUAAAUAAAUUUUGAUUAUCUUUUUCUUCUGGAAGCUCAACUCAACACAAGGUUGCGAUGGUACUCUUCAAUGUUUCACGCAUUGAAACCACUCCCUUCGAUGGACAGAAGCCUGGAACUUCUGGUCUCCGCAAAAAGGUGAAAGUAUUUGUGCAACCUCAUUACCUUGAAAACUUUGUUCAGGCAUCAUUCAAUGCACUAACUGAGGAAAAAGUUAGAGGUGCAACACUAGUGGUUUCCGGCGAUGGCCGUUAUUAUUCGGAACAAGCUAUUCAGAUUAUAACUAAAAUGGCAGCAGCAAAUGGAGUAAGACGUAUUUGGAUUGGUCAAAACGGGUUGCUUUCAACUCCUGCAGUAUCUGCUGUUAUACGUGAAAGAGUUGGGGUUGACGGAUCCAAGGCAACAGGAGCAUUUAUACUGACAGCAAGUCACAACCCUGGUGGUCCUAAUGAGGAUUUUGGGAUUAAAUACAACAUGGAAAAUGGUGGACCUGCACCAGAGGGAAUUACUAACAAAAUAUAUGAAUAUACAACAACGAUCAAGGAGUACUUCAUUACUCCAGAUCUUCCCAAUGUGGAUAUCACCUCAGUAGGUGUCACAAACUUUACAGGGCCUGAAGGACCAUUUGACGUUGAGGUUUUUGAUUCAGCAAGCGAUUAUAUAAAGUUGAUGAAGUCAAUUUUUGACUUUGAAUCUAUCAGGAAACUGCUGACAUCUCCGAAAUUCACAUUCUGUUAUGAUGCCUUACAUGGAGUUGCUGGAGCUUAUGCAAAGCGUAUUUUUGUGGAUGAGCUUGGAGCACAAGAAAGCUCUUUGCUGAACUGUAUACCAAAGGAAGACUUUGGAGGGGGACACCCAGACCCCAAUUUGACAUAUGCAAAAGAGUUGGUUGCUCGUAUGGGAUUGGGAAAAUCAGAAUCACAAAACGAUCCCCCAGAGUUUGGUGCUGCUGCUGAUGGUGAUGCAGAUCGUAACAUGAUACUUGGUAAAAGGUUUUUUGUCACUCCUUCAGAUUCUGUGGCCAUUAUUGCUGCAAAUGCUGUUGAAGCAAUACCGUACUUUUCUGCUGGCUUAAAGGGAGUUGCCAGGAGCAUGCCGACCUCUGCUGCCCUGGAUGUUGUAGCCAAGCAUUUGAAUUUGAAAUUUUUUGAGGUCCCCACGGGUUGGAAGUUCUUUGGUAAUUUAAUGGAUGCUGGAAUGUGUUCAGUUUGCGGUGAAGAAAGUUUUGGGACUGGAUCCGACCACAUUCGUGAGAAGGAUGGAAUCUGGGCAGUUUUGGCUUGGCUAUCUAUACUUGCAUAUAAAAAUAAAGAUAAACUUGAAGACAAGCUUGUAACAGUUGAAGACAUUGUUCGCCAGCACUGGGCUACUUAUGGGCGCCACUAUUAUACUCGAUAUGACUAUGAAAAUGUCGAUGCAGGUGCAGCAAAGGAACUAAUGGCAUAUUUGGUCAAACUGCAGUCCUCACUAUCAGAAGCUAAUCAGAUUAUUAAGGGGGUAAGGUCAGAUGUUUCAAAUGUUGUCAAUGCUGAUGAGUUUGAAUACAAUGAUCCUGUGGAUGGUUCCAUUUCAUCACAUCAAGGGAUCCGAUAUUUGUUUGAGGAUGGAUCACGAUUGGUAAGUUUACUGAUUAUUAUUAUUAUUUUUAUUGAUGAAAAGCUUACUGACUACUUGUUACUAGCUUGUUGGGAUGGAAAAUGCAGGUGGACUUAAAGAUUUGAAUUUAGCAUUGUCUUGAAAUAAUUGUUAAUAUCAGUUCACCUUUUUCAAGUGGAUUUAAUGCGGACUUUUCUUUCCAUUGAUACAUUCACUUUUUCCUCCAUACCUCAUUCUUAUUACAAGAUCUGCUAACUAUUUUAUUUUCUCACCUUCACUUUACUUCCCUAGAUCUUCCGUCUCUCUGGAACUGGAUCAGAAGGUGCUACUAUUCGACUAUACAUUGAGCAAUAUGAGAAAGAUCCAUCAAAGAUUGGGAGACUUUCACAUGAAGCACUUGCUCCUCUUGUGGAGGUUGCUUUGAAACUUUCAAAGAUGGAGGAAUUCACCGGUCGAUCUGCUCCAACGGUCAUCACAUAAAUGCAUACCUCAUUGCACCAAGCAGUCAUUUCUUAUUGUCUGUCAACAUUUCCAUUCCAAUGUUACUUUUAUGAGUAGCCAACCUGUACUGUUGGUUGUUUUCAGCCCUUUUCUAGUAGUAUGGGCACUUGAGUGGAAUUUGUGUUACUUUAACUAAAUUUUGUUAUGCUAAAUAAUUUGAAACUGCCGUGUGCUGAUUAUACUUGUUCUUAACAUAAAUAUUUCCUCAUUUGUUGGCUAA